rnacentral:rRNA from 1 species
AGAGUUUGAUCCUGGCUCAGGACAACGCUGGCGGCGUGCCUAAUACAUGCAAGUCGAACGCAUCCCGUUGAAUUGAAGUGCUUGCACUGAUUUUCAACAUUGGAUGAGUGGCGAACUGGUGAGUAACACGUGGGUAACCUGCCCGGAGGCGGGGAUAACACUUGGAAACAGGUGCUAAUACCGUAUAACAACAAAAACCGCAUGGUUUUUGUUUAAAAGGUGGUUUCGGCUACCACUUCUGGAUGGACCCGCGGCGUAUUAGCUAGUUGGUGGAGUAAUGGUUCACCAAGGCAAUGAUACGUAGCCGACCUGAGAGGGUAAUCGGCCACAUUGGGACUGAGACACGGCCCAAACUCCUACGGGAGGCAGCAGUAGGGAAUCUUCCACAAUGGACGAAAGUCUGAUGGAGCAACGCCGCGUGAGUGAAGAAGGGUUUCGGCUCGUAAAGCUCUGUUGUUGGAGAAGAACGUGCGUGAGAGUAACUGUUCAUGCAGUGACGGUAUCCAACCAGAAAGUCACGGCUAACUACGUGCCAGCAGCCGCGGUAAUACGUAGGUGGCAAGCGUUAUCCGGAUUUAUUGGGCGUAAAGCGAGCGCAGGCGGUUUUUCAAGUCUGAUGUGAAAGCCUUCGGCUUAACCGAAGAAGUGCAUCGGAAACUGGGAAACUUGAGUGCAGAAAGGGCAGUGGAACUCCAUGUGUAGCGGUGGAAUGCGUAGAUUAUGGAAGAACACCAGUGGCGAAGGCGGCUCUUGGUCUGCAACUGACGCUGAGGCUCGAAAGCAUGGGUAGCGACAGGAUUAGAUACCCUGGUAGUCCAUGCCGUAACGAUGAGUGCUAAGGUUGGGGAGGUUUCCGCUCUAGGCUGCAGCUAACCAAUUAAGACUCCUCCUUGGGGGGGUACGACCGAAGGUUUGAAAACUCUAAGGCAAUCGUAGGGGUGCUCCACAAAGCGGGGAACAUGU